CCCUUUGCGCACUCGUGGCUCGAGUCAGUCGGUCCCUGGGGAUAUGAGAGAGGCGCACGCCCGGCUCCUCGAUUCUCUCGACGUCAGUUAGCCGCGAGCUGGCAUCGUGCGGAGUCAUGUGUAUUCAUUCUCUUCUUCCUUGCUAUUUAUCACGAAUUUUUUUAAUAUAAAUGUGAUUCAUAUAUACUCGUAUCUCAUCCGUCAAAUACACAUACGUACAUGUUAAUAUAUAUAUGUAUAUAUGUACAAAGAUGAAUGUGAUCACUCGUAGGUUAAUCGAUCUAACUUAAGAGAUCGUAAAUAUCAUUGGCUUUUGUUUUCUCAAAUUAAUGUUAUUCUUUUCGUUUUAUGUUUAAAAUUGGAAAAAUUUUAUAAUAGUUAUACUUUUCGAAAGCUUCGUAAAAAAAAAAAGGCGGGCUUCUACGUUCGAAACGUGCCGGUGAUUGGUUGCAAUCGACCACGUGCUCUCAUACCGUGUCGUUAUAAGUGGUGUAUUGUGAAAAGAACUUAAUAUAAAAUAAAGAGACGGAGAAGAAUUUAAAAGAAUAGAAUAAAAAUCGAUCGAACGUUUAAGGACAACGUGUCAUAAGGAAUCUUCUGGAUCUUUCAAGUUUUAGAUCUAGAUCUUUUAAGCUGAUGCAGUGUAAGAAACCUAACCACCAGGAAAAACUAUUCACGAGAUGGCAAGAACGGUAAAUAAAACGAAGUUCACUUUUGAUGCGUGGACUCGAAGGUCGACACGAUGUGCUCGGAUGAUUUCAUUCCCUAUAACUGACCGUUCCACGGGGAUUAUUAUUUUUUCAUCAAGUUGCGGAGGGAGCGAAGUCUCGAGCGAAUGCGAAGGGUCCAGACGGACCACCCCGAGAAAUUGCAUCUCCAGUGGUCAAGCCGGUGGUGCUGCUAACCCCUCCAUCUUCCAUUCCACAAGCGACCUUCGCGAAAUAUAUACGAGCCGGCAAAUUGAAAACUAGCGAUCGGACCCGCCUGAAUAAAAUAUCGUUUAAAUUUAUCGUAACACCUGCUCUAUCGGAAACCGUGCACGCUAUCGAAACGCUAAGUGCCUGCGUUAUUGCUAACCCCAUUCCGCCUGGUUUUUCCUCGGAAUUUUGAUCUCUACCUUUCGAUAACCAAACUUCUUUGCUUUUGUUAAUACGAUCAAGUGCAAAAUUCGAUCGAACUAGUCGCCAGCAAGGAAAUCAAUAUUGAACGUGUUCAGUUCAACUAAACUCAACUCGCGAAGUCUUUCAGUACAAUAAAGAUCCGAAUUCGGUAUAAAACGGAUACAAUUUGGAUAAAUUACAUUUUUCAAUUUUUAUGGAUAAGGCAUUCAUGGGUACGUAGAAAAAAUGAGUCACCUGCUAGAAAUCGUGUGCAAACGUCUUGAACCAGUUGGGCACCCCUUUACAGAGUAUGUGCCGGGGAUGGUUAUUUUAAUUACUGUCCGGUGGCUUUAAAUUAAAGAGCUGGGUUAUCCUAGGUGUCGAGCUACCCCUCUUACCCUCUUGCUUCGGUAACUCUUUCUGGGUAACUCCGCAUCGUGGACCGACAUUACAAGCGCCAUUCUUUACACCCGGCCAAGUGGCGAGGUUAUGUUUGACGCUAACCGGGAAACCGCGCUAAAUUGUCUAAACUGCGCCAGAUUAAGCGAGGCUGCUCCACCAUCCUACUACUACUUUCCAACCCUUUCGACACUACCACCUUCGUCGUGUCCAGAAAUUAACCGACACUCAGCCUCCACCGGUAGGGAAGUUAGGAAGAAUUUCAGGAAUUGUUUCAUUUAGCUCGGCAAGUGUGUGAGAGUAAGAGGAAGUGUACGGGGAAUGAAGGUAGAAGGGAAAGUGGCCGAGUCGUUGGCCAAAAUCGCUUAUACGGUGACCUACGUGUUGCUCUAGUUUAACAUGCAAACACUCAUUAUUACAAUUGGGAAUAUUUCUUUGAAGCUGCUUAAUAAAAUUAUGUCUCUGGAAUGUUCAAUGAAUUUGAAAUUUCUAUUCUACAAAUACUGUUGCAGAAUGAACAAUUCACCCUCAGCCAUCAUUAAUGUCCCACGUUGGUAUGAAUCAAUAUCAUUCUAACUUUUUUAACUCCAUAUUGUAAUAUAUUCUAAUAAAGCUCAAGAGAAUAAAGCAUUAGGGGUGCAAAGCUAUUGGUCCAUUUUCUCUUAAGAAAGCCGACGAUUGGUCGUCUACAGUAGAAACACUGCAUUAUGUAUGUUCCUGUUACCUCCGGCCGAGUACGCUUCAACACGCGGAUUACAGGCGCCCGACUACUUUUCCCUUCUAGCUCUCCUUCUUCCUCUUUUUUCCAUUCUUUUCCUCCCACUUCGUUUCGUCGCUACCUACUCAUGGUCUUCCUCCCUUCCUCCCUCUCUCUCUCUCUCUCUCUCUCUCUCUCUCUCUCUCUCUCUUUCGCCUCUUCUUCCUCUUUCUUUAUUUUUCCGAUAGAACACUAACUUACUCCCUCGUGAAUUUUCGCAAGGAAAAGAAUAGUCUAGCCGAGAUUUAUCGAGUAGGAGUGUCGUUCUCCACUAAUUUUAACGCCUUCUUAGGAUCCUCUAUGGUAAGUACACGACUUGCUGAAUCCUUUGAUCAUUUCCGUUUCUUUUUUUAGAGUACAGUUCAUACUGUAUUUUUUCUUUUUUUUUUUUUUUUUUUUUUUUCUUUAUAAACGUAUCUUAGGAAAGAAAAAUCGAUACGCAUACAUCGAUUGAAUUUAUGUCGAAGUAUUAUCGUGUUACGUUAUAGUGUAAUCGUAAUUAUUUCUCUUAACUUUCUUUCUUUAGAUAUUCUUUCAGAUUAUCAAAUGAUCACCAGUGAUUCCUUGAAGUUUUCUUGAAAUCCAUUGGUUAAGAACUUUAAGGGUCGAUCUAAAACUGACAUCGAGUAUAGUAAAAGAAAAGAAAGAAUAAAGGAAGAGAAAGAGAAGAUGAGAGGAUGUGAGUGGGUAUGGAUGGUAGGGAUAGGAGUAGAGUGCGGGUAGCGGGCACUCGAUGUUUAAUACAUAGGAUAGAGUCGAUAUUGCAACACACAGGGUGACUCUCGCGUAUCUUGGUGACAGGGUGCGAAGUCGCAGAGCGACCUCCUGGCGAGACGUGGCACUCAAACAGGGAAGUGUCGUCGAGCUUUUCAGGAGCUUUCAAGUGCUUUCGCAGUUGCCUCGAGUACCGUAAGAGGCUUUCAGAAACGGAGGCGGAAACGGGCUUUUUAAUAGGGCCGAGGUGCCUCCUCUUUCUCUUUCUCUCUCACUCACCUGUACACUUUUUUCCUCCUCAUCCUUCUUCUUCUCCUUUUCUUCUUCUUCUUCUUCUUCUUCUUCUUCUUCUUCUUCUUCUUUUUCUUCUUCUUCAACAACUACGCGCCGUCCGAUUUCGAGGUCAUCGAUCGCUUAGGGACAGUAGUGAGAGAUAAAAGCGGUGUGUCAUAUGUUUACGUAGUUUAUCCGUCAGGUUUUUAAGCUUUUGUUCCAUUUAUUUCUCUAUCUUCUUAUUUCUUCAUCUUAAUCCUUUUUAUUCACAUUUCUUUAAAUCUUCUCUUUUUGAUUUUAAACUAUUCCCUUAGUUUGAGAAUCGUUUAUAUAAAUUAUCUGUAGAAAAAUAAAGCAAUAAUGUUUCCAAACUUCGGCUUUAACGUUUUCACGUUCCCCACAUAGAUUCUUCCUUACUAUGAUUUCACCUUCCAUAGGUCGAUAUAAAUCUUGAUGCACAGACUUAUUCACGCUAUAAAGAUCGAUGGAAAAGGUUCGGGAUGACGAAGCGAAAGAAUUUGCGGCUGGAAUAACUUUGGCCAUCGGUCAUCAAAUUGAGAACAUGUUGGGAUAUUGAGAGCGGAAGGUAAGCUCUCUUACGGUGCUAAAUAACGGAAUCCGAUGACGAGGAGACCAAUGGAGAGAACCACGGAGAAAUUUCUUUAUAAUGAAAAAUUCUAAGCUUGUUCCCUUUUUUUUUUUUUUUUUUUAUUUUUCUUCUUUUUCUUUCUACCGUUAAAAUAAUUAUGUUAAAGCGUACCUUUAUCCGAGAAACUUUAAUUACUAUCGAAGAGGAUAAUUAUUAUUACCGAUGGAGGUACUUAAGAAAAUUGUUUUAUUUUACAAUCUAUUUACGUGUAUAUUCUAUAGCAUAGCAGAAACGAAUGUUGAAAAAAGGAUGAACGAAAAGAAAAAGAGAAAAAGAAAAAAAAAGGGGAAAAAAAAGAAUGGAAAGGGAUAAGAGAAAGAAAAAGAGAGCGGA